rnacentral:misc_RNA from 1 species
AACUUCUACCACUUGACAUGCUAAUUGGCUUGACAGGUUGAACAAUAGGUGAAGAUGAAAGCUCCCUAGACAAAACUUGCAACCUAGCAAAUGCUUCCUUGCGUUUAAUAUCCUCCCCAAGUGACCAUUGAUAUUUUAAGUAUGCCAACAUUACUUGAGGUGGCCCAGAAUACCAUCCAUUUUCAGAAGUUUCAGGAUCGUACUGUAAGAGCUUAACAAGAGUAGAUCUUGCCUGGCUGACUCUCCCACUUUUCCGACAAAGAGAAGCAAACUUUAGCCAUGUCUCAAUAUCUUCUGUUGGUGGUAGCACAAG